rnacentral:rRNA from 1 species
GCACAAGCGGUGGAGCAUGUGGUUUAAUUCGACGCAACGCGAGGAACCUUACCAGCGUUUGACAUCUUAGGAUGAGACAGAGAUGUUUCAGUGUCCCUUCGGGGAACCUAAAGACAGGUGGUGCAUGGCUGUCGCCAGCUCGUGUCGUGAGAUGUUGGGUUAAGUCCGCAACGAGCGCAACCCCUUUCGUAUGUUACCACCAUUAAGUUGGGGACUCAUGCGAUACUGCCUACGAUGAGUAGGAGGAAGGUGGGGAUGACGUCAAGUCAUCAUGCCCCUUAUACGCUGGGCUACACACGUGCUACAAUGGGUAGAACAGAGAGUGCAAAGCUGUAAAGUGGAGCUAAUCUCAGAAAACUAUUCUUAGUCGGAUUGUACUCUGCAACUCGAGUACAUGAAGUGGAAUCGCUAGUAAUCGCGAAUCAGCAAUGUCGCGGUGAAUACGUUCCCGGGC